UACGGAGGGUGCGAGCGUUGUCCGGAAUCACUGGGCGUAAAGGGCGCGUAGGCGGCGCGGGCAGUCAACGGUGAAAGCUUGGGGCUCAACCCCGAGUCGGCCGUCGAUACUCCCGGGCUUGAGCACUGUAGAGGCAGGUGGAAUUCCGGGUGUAGCGGUGGAAUGCGUAGAGAUCCGGAAGAACACCGGUGGCGAAGGCGGCCUGGCUGGGCAGUAGCUGACGCUGAUGCGCGACAGCGUGGGGAGCAACAGG
rnacentral:rRNA from 1 species